rnacentral:rRNA from 1 species
AUUGAACGCUGGCGGCAUGCCUUACACAUGCAAGUCGAACGGCAGCACGGGAGCAAUCCUGGUGGCGAGUGGCGAACGGGUGAGUAAUAUAUCGGAACGUGCCCAGUCGUGGGGAUAACGUAGAGAAAUUUACGCUAAUACCGCAUACGAUCUAAGGAUGAAAGCGGGGGGAUUCGCAAGAACCUCGCGCGAUUGGAGCGGCUGAUAUCAGAUUAGGUUGUUGGUGAGGUAAAAGCUCACCAAGCCGACGAUCUGUAGCUGGUUUGAGAGAACGACCAGCCACACUGGGACUGAGACACGGCCCAGACUCCUACGGGAGGCAGCAGUGGGGAAUUUUGGACAAUGGGCGCAAGCCUGAUCCAGCAAUGCCGCGUGCAGGAUGAAGGCC